UGCUAAAAGACUGCUGGGAGUUUGGUAAUAAGGUUCUUCUUCCUUUUUGAGAUCUUCGUUUGAAUCUGACGACAGAUUUUCCUCAGUCUUUCCCAGAUCUUUAUCCUGUGAAGAGAAUGUUUUCAUUUGAACAGAACGUAGUCCGGGGGCUGAAGAUCUGAUACUGAAUCCUUUAUGUCCUGGAUGAUAUUCUCCCAGGUUCAUUAAUACCUGAAUUAUUAAAUCUGCAGCUAUUUGGCCAUAAGCCCAAUAUGAGAAGUUAAUACUUUUAAAGAAUCCAGUGACUGAAGAAAGGGCAAUCAACCUCUGACAGCCUAAUACAAGUUCUGGGAAAGAUGGUAAUACAUCGACAUCCAACUUUGUGGAGAUAAACACUUGGUUCUGAGAUCCCAUUUACUACUGACUUCAGCGGAGGUAAGACUUUGUGGUUGGUGUCCCAGAGCUCCUGACAUAUCUUCCAGUUCCCAGUUAAUUUUUAAGGAUGUUAAUGUUUUUAGUAGUGUCAGUCCAAUCUGAGUGUCAGGUACAAGAAAGAUUCUGUUGUAAUGGGAAAUGCUGCAUUUAGGACAGACUCUUUAAGGGAGGGAGCAGAGGAGUAGAAUUAACACAAUACACUGCUUUCACUAUUUAAAACAAAAUCCUUGGCAGCUGUAGGCAAAAGAGAAUGGUAUCAAAUACUGAAAAGAAUAUUUUGCAACCUGACUCAAUCUU